GACGAACGCUGGCGGCGUGCCUAAUACAUGCAAGUAGAACGCUGAAGGAGGAGCUUGCUUCUCUGGAUGAGUUGCGAACGGGUGAGUAACGCGUAGGUAACCUGCCUGGUAGCGGGGGAUAACUAUUGGAAACGAUAGCUAAUACCGCAUAAUAGUAGAUGUUGCAUGACAUUUGCUUAAAAGGUGCAAUUGCAUCACUACCAGAUGGACCUGCGUUGUAUUAGCUAGUUGGUGGGGUAACGGCGCACCAAGGCGACGAUACAUAGCCGACAGGAGAGGGGGGUCGGCCACACUGGGAGUGUGACACGGCCCAGACUCCUAGGGGAGGCAGCAGUAGGGAAUCGUCGGCAAGGGGCGGAAGUCUGACCGAGCAACGCCGAGUGAGUGAAGAAGGAUGUCGGGUCGUGAAGGUCUGUUGUAAGGGAAGAACGAGUGUGAGAGUGGAAAGUACACACUGUGACGGUAUCUGACCAGAAAGGGACGGCUAACUACGUG
rnacentral:rRNA from 1 species